rnacentral:rRNA from 1 species
AACGAACGCUGGCGGCAUGCCUAACACAUGCAAGUCGAACGAGACCUUCGGGUCUAGUGGCGCACGGGUGCGUAACGCGUGGGAACCUGCCCUUAGGUUCGGAAUAACUCCCCGAAAGGGGUGCUAAUACCGGAUAAUGUCUUCGGACCAAAGAUUUGUCGCCUUUGGAUGGGCCCGCGUUGGAUUAGCUAGUUGGUAGGGUAAAAGCCUACCAAGGCGACGAUCCAUAGCUGGUCUGAGAGGAUGAUCAGCCACACUGGGACUGAGACACGGCCCAGACUCCUACGGGAGGCAGCAGUGGGGAAUAUUGGACAAUGGGCGAAAGCCUGAUCCAGCAAUGCCGCGUGAGUGAUGAAGGCCUUAGGGUUGUAAAGCUCUUUUACCCGGGAUGAUAAUGACAGUACCGGGAGAAUAAGCUCCGGCUAACUCCGG